UUAAGCGACUAAGCGUACACGGUGGAUGCCCUGGCAGUCAGAGGCGAUGAAGGACGUGCUAAUCUGCGAAAAGCGUCGGUAAGGUGAUAUGAACCGUUAUAACCGGCGAUGUCCGAAUGGGGAAACCCAGUGCAAUUCGUUGCACUAUCGUUAACUGAAUACAUAGGUUAACGAGGCGAACCGGGGGAACUGAAACAUCUAAGUACCCCGAGGAAAAGAAAUCAACCGAGAUUCCCCCAGUAGCGGCGAGCGAACGGGGAGCAGCCCAGAGUCUGAAUCAGCUUGUGUGUUAGUGGAACGGUCUGGAAAGUCCGACGGUACAGGGUGAUAGUCCCGUACACCAAAAUGCACAGGCUGUGAACUCGAAGAGUAGGGCGGGACACGUGGUAUCCUGUCUGAAUAUGGGGGGACCAUCCUCCAAGGCUAAAUACUCCUGACUGACCGAUAGUGAACCAGUACCGUGAGGGAAAGGCGAAAAGAACCCCGGCGAGGGGAGUGAAAAAGAACCUGAAACCGUGUACGUACAAGCAGUGGGAGCACCUUCGGGUGUGACUGCGUACCUUUUGUAUAAUGGGUCAGCGACUUAUAUUCUGUAGCAAGGUUAACCGUAUAGGGGAGCCGCAGGGAAACCGAGUCUUAACUGGGCGUUAAGUUGCAGGGUAUAGACCCGAAACCCGGUGAUCUAGCCAUGGGCAGGUUGAAGGUUGGGUAACACUAACUGGAGGACCGAACCGACUAAUGUUGAAAAAUUAGCGGAUGACUUGUGGCUGGGGGUGAAAGGCCAAUCAAACCGGGAGAUAGCUGGUUCUCCCCGAAAGCUAUUUAGGUAGCGCCUCGUGAAUUCAUCUUCGGGGGUAGAGCACUGUUUCGGCUAGGGGGUCAUCCCGACUUACCAACCCGAUGCAAACUACGAAUACCGAAGAAUGUUAUCACGGGAGACACACGGCGGGUGCUAACGUCCGUCGUGAAGAGGGAAACAACCCAGACCGCCAGCUAAGGUCCCAAAGUCAUGGUUAAGUGGGAAACGAUGUGGGAAGGCACAGACAGCCAGGAUGUUGGCUUAGAAGCAGCCAUCAUUUAAAGAAAGCGUAAUAGCUCACUGGUCGAGUCGGCCUGCGCGGAAGAUGUAACGGGGCUAAACCAUGCACCGAAGCUGCGGCAGCGACACUAUGUGUUGUUGGGUAGGGGAGCGUUCUGUAAGCCUGCGAAGGUGUGCUGUGAGGCAUGCUGGAGGUAUCAGAAGUGCGAAUGCUGACAUAAGUAACGAUAAAGCGGGUGAAAAGCCCGCUCGCCGGAAGACCAAGGGUUCCUGUCCAACGUUAAUCGGGGCAGGGUGAGUCGACCCCUAAGGCGAGGCCGAAAGGCGUAGUCGAUGGGAAACAGGUUAAUAUUCCUGUACUUGGUGUUACUGCGAAGGGGGGACGGAGAAGGCUAUGUUAGCCGGGCGACGGUUGUCCCGGUUUAAGCAUGUAGGCUGGUUAUCCAGGCAAAUCCGGAUAAUCAAGGCUGAGGUGUGAUGACGAGGCACUACGGUGCUGAAGUAACAAAUGCCCUGCUUCCAGGAAAAGCCUCUAAGCAUCAGGUAACAUCAAAUCGUACCCCAAACCGACACAGGUGGUCAGGUAGAGAAUACCAAGGCGCUUGAGAGAACUCGGGUGAAGGAACUAGGCAAAAUGGUGCCGUAACUUCGGGAGAAGGCACGCUGGUGUGUAGGUGAAGUCCCUGCGGAUGGAGCUGAGACCAGUCGAAGAUACCAGCUGGCUGCAACUGUUUAUUAAAAACACAGCACUGUGCAAACACGAAAGUGGACGUAUACGGUGUGACGCCUGCCCGGUGCCGGAAGGUUAAUUGAUGGGGUUAUCCGUAAGGAGAAGCUCUUGAUCGAAGCCCCGGUAAACGGCGGCCGUAACUAUAACGGUCCUAAGGUAGCGAAAUUCCUUGUCGGGUAAGUUCCGACCUGCACGAAUGGCGUAAUGAUGGCCAGGCUGUCUCCACCCGAGACUCAGUGAAAUUGAACUCGCUGUGAAGAUGCAGUGUACCCGCGGCAAGACGGAAAGACCCCGUGAACCUUUACUAUAGCUUGACACUGAACAUUGAGCCUUGAUGUGUAGGAUAGGUGGGAGGCUUUGAAGCGUGGACGCCAGUCUGCGUGGAGCCAACCUUGAAAUACCACCCUUUAAUGUUUGAUGUUCUAACGUUGGCCCCUGACCGGGGUUGCGGACAGUGUCUGGUGGGUAGUUUGACUGGGGCGGUCUCCUCCCAAAGCGUAACGGAGGAGCACGAAGGUUAGCUAAUCCUGGUCGGACAUCAGGAGGUUAGUGCAAUGGCAUAAGCUAGCUUGACUGCGAGCGUGACGGCGCGAGCAGGUGCGAAAGCAGGUCAUAGUGAUCCGGUGGUUCUGAAUGGAAGGGCCAUCGCUCAACGGAUAAAAGGUACUCCGGGGAUAACAGGCUGAUACCGCCCAAGAGUUCAUAUCGACGGCGGUGUUUGGCACCUCGAUGUCGGCUCAUCACAUCCUGGGGCUGAAGUAGGUCCCAAGGGUAUGGCUGUUCGCCAUUUAAAGUGGUACGCGAGCUGGGUUUAGAACGUCGUGAGACAGUUCGGUCCCUAUCUGCCGUGGGCGCUGGAGAAUUGAGGGGGGCUGCUCCUAGUACGAGAGGACCGGAGUGGACGCAUCACUGGUGUUCGGGUUGUCAUGCCAAUGGCACUGCCCGGUAGCUAAAUGCGGAAGAGAUAAGUGCUGAAAGCAUCUAAGCACGAAACUUGCCCCGAGAUGAGUUCUCCCUGAGACUUUAAGUCUCCUGAAGGAACGUUAAAGACGAUGACGUUGAUAGGCCGGGUGUGUAAGCGCAGCGAUGCGUUGAGCUAACCGGUACUAAUGAACCGUGAGGCUUAACCUU
rnacentral:rRNA from 1 species